CACGUAGGGUGCGAGCGUUGUCCGGAAUUACUGGGCGUAAAGGGCUCGUAGGCGGCCAACUAAGUCAGACGUGAAAUCCCCAGGCUCAACCUGGGAACUGCGUCUGAUACUGGAUGGCUUGAAUCCGGGAGAGGGAUGCAGAAUUCCAGGUGUAGCGGUGAAAUGCGUAGAUAUCUGGAGGAAUACCGGUGGCGAAGGCGGCAUCCUGGACCGGCAUUGACGCUGAGGAGCGAAAGCCAGGGGAGCAAACGGG
rnacentral:rRNA from 1 species